ACUCCUACGGGUGGCUGCAGUGAGGAAUAUUGGACAAUGGGUGGAAGCCUGAUCCAGCCAUCCCGCGUGCAGGAAGACGGCCCUAUGGGUUGUAAACUGCUUUUGUAUAGGGAUAAAUCAUCUUACGAGAUAGGAUGUUGAAGGUACUAUACGAAUAAGCAUCGGCUAACUCCGUGCCAGCAGCCGCGGUAAUACGGAGGAUGCGAGCGUUAUCCGGAUUCAUUGGGUUUAAAGGGUCCGUAGGCGGGCUAAUAAGUCAGUGGUGAAAUCUCACAGCUCAACUGUGAAAUUGCCAUUGAUACUGUUAGUCUUGAGUGAGUUUGAUGCUGCUGGAAUGUGUAGUGUAGCGGUGAAAUGCAUAGAUAUUACACGGAACACCGAAUGCGAAGGCAGGUAACAAAGACUUAACUGACGCUGAUGGACGAAGGCGUGGGGAGCGAACAGGAUUAGAUACCCUGGUAGUCCACGCAGUAAACGAUGCUAACUCGUUUUCGGGGUGAAGAACUUCGGAGACCAAGCGAAAGUGAUAAGUUAGCCACCUGGGGAGUACGUUCGCAAGAACGAAACUCAAAGGAAUUGACGGGGGCCCGCACAAGCGGUGGAGCAUGUGGUUUAAUUCGAUGAUACGCGAGGAACCUUACCAAGGCUUAAAUGCAUUUUGACGUACCCUGAAAGGGGUAUUUCUUCGGACAGGAUGCAAGGUGAUGCAUGGAUGUCGUCAGCUCGUG
rnacentral:rRNA from 1 species